UACGUAGGGGGCAAGCGUUGUCCGGAUUUAUUGGGCGUAAAGAGCGUGUAGGCGGCCAGGUAGGUCUGCUGUGAAAACUCGAGGCUUAACCUCGAGAUGUCGGUGGAAACCAUCUGGCUAGAGUCCGGAAGAGGAGAGUGGAAUUCCUGGUGUAGCGGUGAAAUGACGCAGAUAUCAGGAAGAACACCCGUGGCGAAGGCGGCUCUCUGGGACGGUACUGACGCUGAGACGCGAAAGCGUGGGGAGCGAACAGG
rnacentral:rRNA from 1 species